GCCAGAGAGGGGCCUGGGUGUGGAUCCCAACAGUGGCCACAAGAAGGAGUGCCAGGGUGUAUCCUGGCUUGGGCAGGGGCCCCAGAAGUUAAGAGUAAUCGCUUUGGAGCCAGAAGUGAUGGAUUCAAGCUCCCAGCACUGCCACCAGCUAGCUAGGAAACCUGGCGGGGGCGAGGGGGUGUCCCAUAACUGCUGGCACCUCAAUUUUCUCAGCCGUAAGAUGGGGCCAUGGACGUGUUAAUAACUACCCUUUAUUGAGAACUCCACACUCCAUGUGCGGUGCUGUCAGAGGGAGGCAUCACUCAACCCAGAGCCUAUGCUCCUAAGGACCAGUGGAGACCAGCCUUGGAGGGCAUCUGCAGCCUGAAAGGGACAGCGGAGUCCAGAGCAGGAGGCAGGGUGACAGCCGCUUCUCCCCUCCCCGCUAAGUGACCAUGCAGACAGCACUGUGCCUUCACUUCCUCACCGAGACUCUCUCUCUGUCACCCAGGCUGGAGUGCAGUGCUGCAAUCACAGCUCAUUACAGCCUCAAAUUCCUGUGCUCAAGCAAUCCUCCUGCCUCAGCCUCCUGGGAAGGGGGCAUUACAGCAGCCUGAGAAAAUUAAUACCCGUUCUGAAGAGUGGAAAGAAAAAUACAGAAAGAAAGAAAAAUGAACAGAAACUGAGGGAGCUGUGGAACACCAUCAACAAUACCAGCAUACAAACCACAGUAAUCCAGGUAGGAGAAUAGAGAGAAAAGGUGGCAGAAAAAAACAUUCAAAGAAAGAGUGGCCAAAUUUUUCUCAAAUGUGAUGAAAUGCAUCCAUAUACAUAUCCAACAAGCUCAAUAAACCCCAAGUAGGUUAAACUCAAAAUAUCCACAUCAAGACACAUUACAACCAAACUACUGAAACACAAAGGCAAAGAGAACUUUGAAAACAGCAAGGGAAAAGCUAUUUGGGUCACAUAUAAGAGAUCUUCAAUAAGAUUAAUAGCUGAUUUCUCAUCAGAAAUUAUGGAGGCCAGAAGGCAGUGGGAUGAUAUUUAACAUGCUGAAAGAAACUGUCAACCAAGAGUUCUGUAUCCAGCAAAACUAUCUUUCAGCCUGGCCAACAUGGUGAAACCCCAUCUCUACUAAAAAAUACAAAAAUUACUUGGGUGUGGUUGUGCACACCUGUAAUCACAGCCACUCUGGAGGCUGAGGCACAAGAAGCACUUGAACCCAGGAGGUGAAGGUUGCAGUGAGAUGAGAUCAUGCCACUGCACUCCAGCCUGGGCAACAGAGUGAGAUUCUGUCUAAAAAAAAAAAAGAAGAAUGAAUGAAUGAAGGGAAAAUUAAGACAUUUCCAUAUAAACAAAACCUGAGGAAGUUCAUUACCAGUGGAUCUUCCCUACAAGAAUUACCAAAAUAAGUCCUUCAGUCUGAAACAAAAGGACACUAGCUAUUAACUCAAAGCCAUAAGAAGAAAUAAAGAACACUGGUAAAGGCAACUACAUAGCUGGCAUUGCUCUGUAAAGACAAACUUUCCCUCCUCAACUGGGGAUAUUUGGCCACACUCAAAUGCUCUUCCUAGAGCAAAAGCAGGAUAAACGUUCAAAGACAUUCAUCGCCACAGAAAAUCCAGAACCAGAAGUUGAACACCAGCAGUGGGUAAGUGGGUGAGUGGGCAGACCUGAUAUUGUUGAGGGACAGGAGAUGUGUGUGGGCAUUGAGUCCACCUAAGACCAGCCAGCAUUCUUCAUCUGUUUGAUAAAUAUCUACAGCUUCAGGUGAAUUGGCAGAUGGAGUAAUGGUCAAAAUGUCAAAUAGGUCAUAAUUAGUCACUGGUUUUUCUUUCGUUUU
rnacentral:lncRNA from 10 species